rnacentral:rRNA from 1 species
GAUGAACGCUGGCGGCGUGCUUAACACAUGCAAGUCGAACGAAGCACUUUGAAACAAUCCUCCGGGUUGAUUUGAUUUGUGACUGAGUGGCGGACGGGUGAGUAACGCGUGGGUAACCUGCCUUGUACAGGGGGAUAACAGUUAGAAAUGACUGCUAAUACCGCAUAAGCGCACGGUGUCGCAUGACACAGUGUGAAAAACUCCGGUGGUACAAGAUGGACCCGCGUCUGAUUAGCUUGUUGGUGAGGUAACGGCUCACCAAGGCGACGAUCAGUAGCCGACUUGAGAGAGUGAUCGGCCACAUUGGGACUGAGACACGGCCCAAAACUCCUACGGGAGGCAGCAGUGGGGAAUAUUGCACAAUGGGGGAAACCCUGAUGCAGCGACGCCGCGUGAGUGAUGAAGUAUUUUCGGUAAUGGUAAAAACUCUAUCAGCAAGGAAGAUAAAUGACGGUACUUGACUAAGAAGCCCCGGNUAACUACGUGCCAGCA